AGUAGAGUGGCGCACGGGUGAGUAACACGUGGAUAAUCUACCCGGUGAUCUGGGAUAACAUUCCGAAAUGGAGUGCUAAUACCGGAUAAUGCCCACAUUUCCUCCGGGUUAUGCGGGAAAAGGUGGGGACCUAUCGGGCCUACCUGUCAUCGGGUGAGUCCUGCUGGCCCAUUAGCUAUGUUGGUGGGUGUAAUGGCCUACCAAGGCUACGAUGGGUAGCUGGUCUGAGAGGAUGAUCAGCCACACUGGAACUGAGACACGGUCCAGACUCCUAC
rnacentral:rRNA from 1 species